rnacentral:lncRNA from 1 species
GUAUUCUGACUGAUAUUUGAAAAAAAAUGAAAAGUCUGUGUUUUGUUUUUUUUAAUUUUUUGAGACAUCUCUAGAAUCUGAAGUACAUUUUGGAGCUUGAGAGGUACCUGAAAUGCAAUGGGUGUAAGAAGAAUUACUGAGUUCUCAGCAUUUGUCCUGUCUCAGGGAAAAUAUAAGGAAAGAACAGCAAAAAGGAAUAUGACAAAGAUGACAUCUUGGCAAACUCACCAAACUUAUUAUCUACAGUAAAAACCAGGAAUAUCAACCAGGUAACCUUCCUUAACUCUUUGUUAAAUUGCUAGAAGGAUUUGUGCGCACACCCGCUGUCAGCUCAGUGUUAACUUACCCUCUCAGCAUAAACUGCUUGGAGAGCGAUGUGAGCAGGCUGGGCACUGCCAAGUUCAUGCAAGCUGCUCUGGAAAUUCAGCUGAGGCAAAUAAUGAGCACCUGAUUUAUGGGUGAGAAGGUCUUCAAUGUUUCAGCUCUUUCUAAAGCACUCUCUGAUUGUGUUCUAAUGGGCAAUUUUGGUAGCUCACAUUUUUGCACACACAAGUCACAUUAAUUUUUAGAAGUAUCUGACCACUGGGAUUUUUUUUUUUUUUUUUUUUUGUGGGAGCAGUUCAGAGGGCUUUUCUGGUUCUUGUUUUUCUUUUGGUUUAUCUUGAAUUCCUUUAUUUACUUCAAGGGUGUAGGUUCUUUUUUAUAUAUAUAUAUAUACUUAGGGAACUGUUGUUAUUAUCUGCCAAACAUCUCAGAAAAUUAAGGAAGUUUGAAGAUUUCAAAGGAGAAGUGCCUUAAACCAGCUGCCACUUUGCUCAUUUCAACCUUUGACACUAUGAGGAGUUUCAAGGACUUGUCUUCUGAAAGUGUUUACCUUGUGAGGUGGCUUCCUGGGAACGGUAAGUUCACAUUGCUCAUAUAUUCUUAAGGGGAAACUUUUGACCUUGGAUUACUUCAAAGAUCUGCCAGAUUCUCUCUCUCUCCCCCCCAUUCCCACCCCCCCAUUUAGUCAGCUCUU